CGUAACACCACAAGGAUUACUAUCAACUCUCGUGCAACGGGCGGACAUGCGCAUCAGAGUUUUAAAGAAAGUGUUCAUUCAUUGACGUUCUUAUAAAAGAAUAGAUUCGUUACUUGCAACUGUGGCGAGAUAGUCUGAAAAAAGAAGAAACAUGUUUGCGGUUCAGAAUUUAGCCAGGAAAGCUCCACAAUUAUCGAAGCCGUUUUUCAAUCAACACAGAACCAUCCUUUCCACACCGCCUAGAGCUAAAGUAUCUUCUGCAGAACUUAUAGGCCUUGGUAUUGCUCUAUGGGUGGGAAUUAUGGUGGUACCAAUAUAUAUUAGUUGCAACGUAACUAAAUAUGCUGCAUCGAAAAAGUGAAUUUGUAUUAAUUGUAUAUUUAUAAAGUUAAGACCCCAAUAGAACUUCAAAAUGUAACUAUUAAAUUUUGAA